GGGGAGUGGCAGGUGCCUAAGAAAAUGGAAGGCAAAUGUGAAAAGGGUGAAAGGGGGAAAAUAUCUGUACAUCUGUCCCUCCAAUUGGAUUAUGAUACCAUUCUUUAGGAGCAGAAAACUCUUGUGGCAUGAAGGUGGCUGAAGAUCCCUAUCAUUCCUCUCUUGUGAGGUUUUACAAAAAAAACAUAAAAACUAACUAAUGAAGAGCGAAAGAAACCGAGGAAGAAGACAGAAAAGAUAAAAAGUUCAGAAAGAGAGAAUGAAAAGAAAUAAGAAGAAAGAACCUUCAAUUUUCUUCUGCAGCAAAAAUAAGUUUCUUUAAAACAUUAACUCUUAAUGUAUGAUUAUAAAAAAGACCUCAC